rnacentral:rRNA from 1 species
CGUGCCUGAUACAUGCAAGUCGAGCGGAAUGAUGAAGAAGCUUGCUUCUUCUGAUUUUAGCGGCGGACGGGUGAGUAACACGUGGGCAACCUACCUUGUAGAUUGGGAUAACUCCGGGAAACCGGGGCUAAUACCGAAUAAUCCAUUUUGCUUCAUGGCGAGAUGUUGAAAGACGGUUUCGGCUGUCACUACAAGAUGGGCCCGCGGCGCAUUAGCUAGUUGGUAGGGUAAUGGCCUACCAAGGCGACGAUGCGUAGCCGACCUGAGAGGGUGAUCGGCCACACUGGGACUGAGACACGGCCCAGACUCCUACGGGAGGCAGCAGUAGGGAAUCUUCCACAAUGGACGAAAGUCUGAUGGAGCAACGCCGCGUGAGUGAAGAAGGUUUUCGGAUCGUAAAACUCUGUUGUAAGGGAAGAACACGUACGAGAGCAACUGCUCGUACCUUGACGGGUACCUUAUUAGAAAGCCACGGCUAACUACGUG